AUUGAACGCUGGCGGCAUGCCUUACACAUGCAAGUCGAACGGUAACAGGUUAAGCUGACGAGUGGCGAACGGGUGAGUAAUGUAUCGGAACGUGCCCAGUCGUGGGGGAUAACUGCUCGAAAGAGCAGCUAAUACCGCAUACGACCUGAGGGUGAAAGCGGGGGAUCGCAAGACCUCGCGCGAUUGGAGCGGCCGAUAUCAGAUUAGGUAGUUGGUGGGGUAAAGGCCUACCAAGCCUACGAUCUGUAGCUGGUCUGAGAGGACGACCAGCCAGACUGGGACUGAGACACGGCCCAGACUCCUACGGGAGGCAGCAGUGGGGAAUUUUGGACAAUGGACGCAAGUCUGAUCCAGCCAUGCCGCGUGCGGGAAGAAGGCCUUCGGGUUGUAAACCGCUUUUGUCAGGGAAGGAAAGGUUCUGGUUAAUACCUGGGACUCAUGACGGUACCUGAAGAAUAAGCACCGGCUAACUACGUGCCAGCAGCCGCCGUAAAAC
rnacentral:rRNA from 1 species